rnacentral:rRNA from 1 species
GAUUGAACGCUGGCGGCAGGCCUAACACAUGCAAGUCGAGCGGAUGAAGGGAGCUUGCUCCUGGAUUCAGCGGCGGACGGGUGAGUAAUGCCUAGGAAUCUGCCUGGUAGUGGGGGAUAACGUCCGGAAACGGGCGCUAAUACCGCAUACGUCCUGAGGGAGAAAGUGGGGGAUCUUCGGACCUCACGCUAUCAGAUGAGCCUAGGUCGGAUUAGCUAGUUGGUGGGGUAAAGGCCUACCAAGGCGACGAUCCGUAACUGGUCUGAGAGGAUGAUCAGUCACACUGGAACUGAGACACGGUCCAGACUCCUACGGGAGGCAGCAGUGGGGAAUAUUGGACAAUGGGCCAAAGCCUGAUCCAGCCAUGCCGCGUGUGUGAAGAAGGUCUUCGGAUUGUAAAGCACUUUAAGUUGGGAGGAAGGGCAGUAAGUUAAUACCUUGCUGUUUUGACGUUACCAACAGAAUAAGCACCGGCUAACUUCGUG